CGUUACUGAGCGCUUUCCCGGGCUUCACCGCGGCGGCUGCUGCUCUAGGGUCAGUUGGUUCCUUAAUGUUCUUCCCGGCGCUAACGACCGGGACCUCACUCUGGUUGGGAGCGACGGUAGGAACUGCCGAGGAGGCCGGUUCUUCCCUUCUCCCUCGCGGUCCUCGGUUCACCGCCACACCCGCCUCCUCAGCUCCCCGCCCUCAGCUCUGCACGCCUUCCCCGCUGCCAUCUCUUCGCAGGCCGAGCCACACUGCCCGCCUCGCGCUGCAGGCUUGGAAUCCUGGCUCGGAGCCACAGGGACCGGGUCCGCUCUCGUCCCCUCCUCAGGGCCGGACCGCCGGCGCCGCUGCUUACUCCCGGCGGUUCCUGGCCCAGCCGCCACCGCCACCACCACCGCCGCCGCCUUCCGUUAACGGGGCAAGGGCCCAGCCUCCCAGCACCAGGGGAGGCCUCCGUUGUGAGCGCAGCAUAGUUCCCAGCCUGCCCCCUCGAGGUCCCUGCGGCUUCUAGGGUCCAGUAGGACUAUGAACCUCUGUUCCAAACGCUUUGGUGAUUUUCAGAAGAAACAAGCGGACGAUGAUUCCACUUGAAGUACGCGUAACAGCCAAUCAGAGUUGUUUUCCGAAGAGACCACCUGUGACAAGAAUACCUGGAUAACCACGCCAACUCAGUCCCAGCCAGCAACCGCUUCCGACAGAACUGACUGUAACUUCAGUGAGUAAAGAGGACUGUGGGCCAUGCACAGAUGCAGCUCGUGUCUCGUUAAUCCCACCAACCAAAAGAUCCUGAGGUACAGAGUCACAGAAUGAGAACGAGGCUUCGCCAGUGAACCGGUCACGACUACUGAAUACUGAACGAUGCGAGGAAACGAGCCGAUCCACACAGAACAGCCGACGAGGUGCGGCAGGAAUUGGGACGGUGCCGCUGCGGUUUAUGAACAAGAUGAAUGGAAAACAUGCAGUGAGCCAAAAAUAGCACAAGGAGAUGAGAGAUUGAGCCUCAAGAAGCUGAUGAUGGAGAGGAGAUGACAAUUUUCAGUAUGGUAUCAAGGAAUGAAGCAGAGCUCGUAAGGAGGUGGCACAGAAGCCAGCCCAUUGACAACUGGGGUGAUGUCAAUGUCCUUUGAGUCAACCACAGAUUUCAAGGCACACCAAAAUUACAGCAACUUAUAGAACAAUCAUGAAUGGAAAAAGACCAGAAUCUACCAGAAAAGACCUACAAAUAAGAUAUAAAGAAGGAACCACAAAGAGGCAAGUAUGAAGGGCAGAGUCACAAUAUACUGAAGUCCCAUGCCCACAGGUGGGGAACACACAAAUGGGAGAAUAAUUACAAUUGCAUGGCUCAGAGUCAGAUAACUUGAAUAUAAUGGUCUGAUAAUGCUAAAAGUUUUGCCACCCAAAGUUAAAGAGGCUUUACUAGAAAACUAUUUCCUAUUAAUGAAUGUUAAGAAUAUAGGUACAUAAGAGAGGAUAUAUCCAGACAGCAAUCAAAUGCAAUCUCAUGGUAUCAGUUGCAUGAAUAAAUUAUAUUUAUGUUAGAAUUUUUCUGAACCCUCAAAUCAUGGAACCUCUGUGCUUUACUAGAUGAUGUACAAUGUGACUUAAAAUGUCAAGCUAGAUAAAGCUGUUAAAAAAGAAAAUGUGAUAAGUACAUACACUGAAAUAUUAUUCAGCUAUAAAAAUGAAAGAAAUCUGGUCAUAUGCUACAGCACGGAUGAACCUUGAGAACCGUGUGCUAAGUGGAAAAAAAAUGAUCACAGAAGAACAAAUGUUGCAUGAUUUCACUUACAUAUGAAUUAUCUACAGUAGUCAAACUGAUAGAAACAGAAAGUAGAAUGCUAGUUUCCAGGGUCUGAGGAAGAGGAAAUGGAUAUGUCACCAGUCACCCCUGGCCUUGAGCACCUCAUGCAAAGAAUGAGAUCUAGAAACCUCACUGUGUUCCUAGGGAACUCAUUUGGAAAUACCCAGUGUUGGUGGCGGUGGUGGUUUUCAGUUGUUUUUUCAAGGUUUGGAGGGUUCCAGGUAGAGAUACAUUUUCAAAAAACAGCUCAAAUCAGCUUGGGCCCAACCACAAGACUAGAGCCUGAGCAGACAAACCAAAAAUCAUGCAGAAGUUACCUUUGCUUCAUUUGAAUGUUAAAUUCUCCUCCCCAGGCAGAGCUCAAGCCCCGUUAACAUACUAUGUGAUGUGUGAAGAAAUAUGUCCCCAAACUGUGCUUCUGUGAGAUUACUUCUGCCUUUACACAUGACAAAAUCUUCCUGCUUGAAUAUUCAUCCCCUGCCCCAAUAAAACUACUAAUCUUUCCAUGUUGAAGCAGCCACAGCUUUGAGAAAUGACUCCCCAUGGUUUCCUUAUUUGCUGCAAAUUAAAACUUCACUUUAACAAUUA